rnacentral:rRNA from 1 species
UACCAGCACCCCGAGUGGUCGGGACGAUUAUUGGGCCUAAAGCAUCCGUAGCCGGUCCUACAAGUCUUCCGUUAAAUCCACCUGCUCAACAGAUGGGCUGCGGAAGAUACUAUAGGGCUAGGAGGCGGGAGAGGCAAGCGGUACUCAGUGGGUAGGGGUAAAAUCCUCUGAUCCAUUGAAGACCACCAGUGGCGAAGGCGGCUGCCAGAACGCGCUCGACGGUGAGGGAU